rnacentral:rRNA from 1 species
AUGCUAUUCACUCAGGUGAGGAAGAUGGCAAGGAACCAAGAUGCCGCGGCCGAGGAGAGGAGGUUGGUGGCCGAGGAGAGGAGGGUGGCGGCCGAGGAGAGGAAGGUGGCAUUGGAGGAGCGAUCUAGGUUGUUGGAUUGGGAGAAGUAUUUGUUCUUCAUGGACACAUCUAUCCUCAAUGAGGCGCAAAAGGAGUAUGCUAAUCUUGCCCGUGAAGAAGUCUUGAUCCAAAAAAGAGCCAUGAUUCGCGGCAUGGGUGGCGGUGGCCUUGGCGGCAUGGGUGGCGGCGGCCUUUGCGGCAUGGGAGGCAUCGGUGGCUUCGGAGCUACCAUGGGCGGCAUGGGUGCCAUGGGUGGCUUUGGAGCUACCAUGGAGACCAUGGGAGGCAUGGGUGGCUUCGGAGCACCUCCGGGCGGCAUGGGCGGCAUGGGAGGCAUGAGUUUUGCGUCUCUCAUGGGAGGCAUGGGAGCACCUCCGGGGGGCAUGGGCGGAAUGUCUUCCAGUGUGCCUCACACACCUUCGCAUGAAGAUGCCGUUAAAGAUCUUGCCAACACCUUCCGAGCUUCACAUGAUGAUGCGGCGCGUAACAAUGAAGAGGAGGAGGAAAAAUCGUCUUCGGAGGAGGAGGAUGAACCGGAGGAAGAUGAGGAUGAAGACGAGGACGAGGCUUGA